ACGCGUGGAUAACCUGCCUCACACUGGGGGAUAACAGUUAGAAAUGACUGCUAAUACCGCAUAAGCGCACAGUGCCGCAUGGCAGUGUGUGAAAAACUCCGGUGGUGUGAGAUGGAUCCGCGUCUGAUUAGCCAGUUGGCGGGGUAACGGCCCACCAAAGCGACGAUCAGUAGCCGACCUGAGAGGGUGAACGGCCACAUUGGGACUGAGACACGGCCCAGACUCCUACGGGAGGCAGCAUG
rnacentral:rRNA from 1 species